UUGGAGGGCAAGUCUGGUGCCAGCAGCCGCGGUAAUUUCAGCUCCAAUAGCGUAUAUUAAAGUUGUUGAGGUUAAAAAGCUCGUAGUUGAACCUUGGGCCUGGCUGGCCGGUCCGCCUCACCGCGUGCACUGGUCCGGCCGGGCCUUUCCCUCUGCGGAACCCCAUGCCCUUCACUGGGUGUGGCGGGGAAACAGGACUCUUACUUUGAAAAAAUUAGAGUGCUCAAGGCAGGCCUAUGCUCGAAUACAUUAGCAUGGAAUAAUAGAAUAGGACG
rnacentral:rRNA from 1 species